rnacentral:tRNA from 1 species
CAGCUUUAAGUAUUUAGUAUAUUAAAUUUAGAAUUUGAAGGGAGCUUAGCUGA